UAUGUUUGGAUAUUUUUUGUUUCGUUUCAUUAUGUUUGUUAUUUAGAUAUAUUUUUUUAAGACAUGUGUUUGUUAUGUAUAUGGAAUAUGUUUGGAUAUUCUUUAUACUAUUGUUGAAGGUGAUUCUAAAGCCGUCCGACGCAUGUCAACCGUUUAAACUCCACUUUCUUUCAAUCUCCACAGUAAUAACUCAAAAUCUGAGGUUGUAGCCCGUUUUAAGCUCCUCCCCACGUUCCUCACCACCUAUCGUUUUCUCCUCCCACGUUCAACAGGUUUUUAGUUUCCUUCCAAAGACUCCUUUGAUCAUCAUGAUAUGGAGGCGGGUAACUACCCUAACCACGACCUAGAAAUCGGACCUAUAUAAUGAUCCGACUAUGUUUAAUGUUUCUAUCUUUCACUCAGUGUAUUGACUUGCUUCAUUUGAUGUCAACGUUUAUGGAUUCAAGUUCGGCUGAAAAUUGUUCGGCUAAGCUAACUUUAUCGACUUAUGCUUAAAUUUUCAAUGUUUCAAUGAGUUUCUUCAAUUAAUUCUUUUUGUGCACAAUUAUCGAUAAAGAAUUUCGUCUAAAUAGUCUUCAACUAAGGUAAAAUCUUUACAGUUAGUUAUCUCUAUGUUUUAAAUAUUAUCCUAUGUCUAAAAAUCCUCAUGAAUAACAAUUAUCCUCAUAAUAUUCUGUAAUGUUCGGAUACUGUUCAAUGUUUCAAUGCUACACUCAGUUCGGUUCCUUCAAUUUCUUGAUUUGAUUCCGUCAUAUGAACACUUUUGGCUACAAUUUCGUUUGAAAAGUCUUAAACAAAGGAAUGGUCAAUUGAUGAUGCGUACUGCAGACACGCACAAGAAAAAGAGGCGCAAACAUGGAGAUUUUGUUGAUGCCUUAAUCGCUUUUGAAGAUGCAUAUGGGAACUGAAGUGGAUAUCAACCAAGGGUAUGAACUGAUUUUAUUCCUUAUUUUCUGUCCCUUGAGGACAGUUUAUUUUCAUUUUUUUCAAUGUAUUGAAGAGAUGGAGAGAAGCGUGGAUGUUACAUGUGCAAUUAUUUUGUCCACCAAGUGUUUGAUGAAAGUCCAUAUUUGUUUACUUAUUAUAUUGUUCCAAAUUGAUGUUAUUUACUGGCUUCUAUGUAUGUAUUUGUGUGUACAUGCUCUUAGAAAAAUAUGGUUGAUAUAAAAAGGUGUGAGUUUGUGUUA